rnacentral:rRNA from 1 species
UACGUAGGGAGCAAGCGUUGUCCGGAAUCAUUGGGCGUAAAGCGCGCGUAGGUGGCUUCGUAAGUCCGCUGUGAAAGUCAAAGGCUCAACCUUUGAAAGCCGGUGGGUACUGCGGAGCUAGAGUCCGGAAGAGGCGAGUGGAAUUCCUGGUGUAGCGGUGGAAUGCGCAGAUAUCAGGAGGAACACCAAUAGCGAAGGCAGCUCGCUGGGACGGUACUGACACUGAGGCGCGAAAGCGUGGGGAGCGAACAGG